CCCUUUGAAAGACCCUGGCGGCAUGCCUUACACAUGCAAGUCGAACGGCAGCACGGGGGCAACCCUGGUGGCGAGUGGCGAACGGGUGAGUAAUACAUCGGAACGUGUCCUGUAGUGGGGGAUAGCCCGGCGAAAGCCGGAUUAAUACCGCAUACGAUCUACGGAGGAAAGCGGGGGAUCUUCGGACCUCGCGCUGCAGGGGCGGCCGAUGGCAGAUUAGCUAGUUGGUGGGGUAAAGGCCUACCAAGGCGACGAUCUGUAGCUGGUCUGAGAGGACGACCAGCCACACUGGGACUGAGACACGGCCCAGACUCCUACGGGAGGCAGCAGUGGGGAAUUUUGGACAAUGGGGGCAACCCUGAUCCAGCAAUGCCGCGUGUGUGAAGAAGGCCUUCGGGUUGUAAAGCACUUUUGUCCGGAAAGAAAACUUCGUCCCUAAUAUGGAUGGAGGAUGACGGUACCGGAAGAAUAAGCACCGGCUAACUACGUGCCAGCAGCCGCGGUAAUACGUAGGGUGCGAGCGUUAAUCGGAAUUACUGGGCGUAAAGCGUGCGCAGGCGGUCUGUUAAGACCGAUGUGAAAUCCCCGGGCUUAACCUGGGAACUGCAUUGGUGACUGGCAGGCUAGAGUGUGGCAGAGGGAGGUAGAAUUCCACGUGUAGCAGUGAAAUGCGUAGAAGAUGUGGAGGAAUACCCGAUGGCGAAGGCUUCCUCCU
rnacentral:rRNA from 1 species